rnacentral:rRNA from 1 species
CCUACGUGAGGCAGCAGUUGGGAAUAUUGCGCAAUGGGCGAAAGCCUGACGCAGCGACGCCGCGUGAGGGAUGAAGGUCUUCGGAUCGUAAACCUCUGUCAGCAGGGAAGAACGGUCACUGUGCUAAUCAGCAGUGAAUUGACGGUACCUGCAAAGGAAGCACCGGCUAACUCCGUGCCAGCAGCCGCGGUAAUACGGAGGGUGCGAGCGUUAAUCGGAAUUACUGGGCGUAAAGCGCUCGUAGGCGGUAUGUCAAGUCAAGGGUGAAAUCCCCGCGCUCAACGUGGGAACUGCCUUUGAAACUGGCAAACUGGAGUGUGUGAGAGGAUAGUGGAAUUCCAGGUGUAGGAGUGAAAUCCGUAGAUAUCUGGAGGAACAUCAGUGGCGAAGGCGACUAUCUGGCACAUAACUGACGCUGAGGAGCGAAAGCGUGGGUAGCAAACAGGAUUAGAUACCCCAGUAGUC